UUUUAUUUAUAAUUUCAUAUCAUGAUCGUCUUGUGACAAAUUUCCAGUCAAUUUUGAAGUAUAUAUUUAUAUCAUUUGAUAGAUGUCAGUUUACUAUAUACCUCCUAAAACCGAAGGAGAAAAUCAGUUACUAAGUAAAGGCAAAUUGCCCAUAAAGUUAAAAAACGCUAAAUCCUGGCUGCGCAAAAAAGGAGCAAUUUCACCUUUGAGAAAGAAAAAAAGAACAUUGAAUACUGAUGACCCAACCUCUUCUUCUGUUGAUGGUACAUUUUAUCUCAUACUUUAUUGAAAUUUUAAAAAUCAUUUUAUGUUACUUUCUUUCUAUUAGAUGUUCUUUCGAAUGAAAUAAAAGUUGCGCAAGAAUGGCUUAAAAGAAAUAGAGAACCAUUUGAAGAUGUUGCUGAAAAUUGGAGAAUAUGUAAAGAAGUUCGUCUUAAAACUCUCUUAGCUAAUCAGAACAUUACUACCCAACAAUACAUCGAUCAGUGGUUAAAUAUAUUACAACAACCACAAGGUUACAAAUUGGUACAUUUCUGUGAAUCCCUUGUAUAAUAACUGUAGUUUGAAGGAAAUAUAUAACAACUUUUCUUCUGUCAUCAGAUCUUAGAUGAUUUUAAUAUUUUACAUUCUCUAAAUGCCAAGUAUGCUUGUUUGGAAGGCAAGCAGAACUAUAUUUUAGUGAAAUGACCCUCUAUCAGUAAGAAAUUAGAACAAUUGGUAAUAUUACAGGAUGAUAUUGUGGAUCAUUAUGAUGUGAAAGAUCUUGUGCCCCUUUUGCAGAGAAAUAUAUCUGAUGAUGUUAGAGAUUACAUUUUGUUACACGUCUUAGCUGUUAUAUGUAAGCCAACAAGCAGAGUAAAAGUUGGGAAGAAAAUAUUAAAACCAUCAGUGGAAGAGGCAAGAGAUGCAUUUAUUUUAAAAGUAGCUAUUGGUGGUGAUGUAUUGAAUGCUAUAAAAAGACGGAAUAAGUUUUAUGCUUCUAUGAAUGCUACUGUCCAGCCUUACAUAAUUGUUGUCGGGGAUGUUAAAGAUUCAAUUACUGCUGCAUACGUCUGCAUCAAUAGCUGCCUAUGGAAAAUGGGAAGUGUUCUACAAGCUGUUGAUGUUUGUUUUAAGUCAUUUUUUGCGCUUGAUGCAGACUAUCAAGCUGAAGCAUAUCAUUUAUGGUUAUUUGUUUAGAGAGCUCUGUAUGAUGUUUAUUUGCCAGGUGAACGCUCAAUUACAAAUGUAACUACACUCAUUAGUCGGUUGAAUGGAAUGAUACUGUAAUUAUUCUUUUUUUUUUAUUAUAUUUCUAUGAGAAAUUACAAUAUUUGGAUGUUACUUCUUUAUUAGCUACUUCAUUUUAUAUUUCUUUUUGCAUCCAAAGUUUUUAAUACUAACCUUUAUUUUUGCACAUUAUUGCACUAAAAAUUGUUGUUAAAAAUAUUUUUCAUUUUAAUGUGAUAUUUAUUUAAAAAGAAAGAUGUUUAAGUGCUUCAUCUGCGACAAAAUAUAUAAUGCAGCACAUAGCAUUCUUAGCCACUUACGGUUCUUUCAUUCAACUGAAAUUGCUAAAAAAAAGUUAGUAUGUUGUUGGUGUCAUUAUGUAAGGGUUUUUAAUAAUUUCUCUUCUUAUAGUAAACAUGUAAAAAGGCAUAAAUCUGAAAAUUCUGCCAUAUCUUCGCAAUUGAAGUGUAUUUUUUCUCAAUCUUUACAAGAUUCAAAUUAUGAUAAAGAUCCAACUACACCAAAUGCAUCCGCCUAUACUAAAAAUGAAAGUGUCUCUGGUUUUGAUGUUGAACUUUCUGAAAUCGACAACAGUAAUGAUUUUGAUCAGGCUUUAACAGAUGCUGUUAUUCAUUAUGUUGCUUCAUUGCAUGAUAGCUUUUUAUUAUCUGACAACAUUCAAAAAAUUAUUGAUUGUCAUAAAACUCUUUUAGGUGCAGGAUUUUUAAUGAUCUUAAAGAAACAUAUUUUAAACUUAUUGAAUAAAGCUAAAAGACAAGAAAAUAUUUCUGAUUAUGAAGUUGAUUAUGAAGUGACAAGAAUGGUGGAUUCGUGCCAAAAUAUGUUUAGUGGAUUUGAAAGUCAUUAUUUACGUAUGAAAGAGUUUGAAUCUUGUAAAGCAUUUAUUAAGCCUGAAACAUAUAUAAUAGGAAUAUAAUAGUCUGGAUGAAAAAAAUUCUGGUGGAGAAAUCGCGAUUGACUCUUGUUCAUGGGCAGUUCAUUUCUUUGCGCUUAGUACUGAAAGGAUUCCUUGAAUUACCAAAUAUCCUAAAGACAAUUUUAGAUUAUAUGAAAAUACUUGAAAAUAAUUCUGAUUUGCUUUGUAAUAUUAUUCAAGGCAAACUUUGGAAAGAAAAGAUUGCUCCUAAAUUUCUUGGCAAAAUUGUGUUACCUCUAAUUUUGUAUUUCGAUGAUUAUGAAACGAAUAAAGAAUUAGGAAGUCAUACUGGUGUACAUAAGUUAGGAGCUACUUAUUGCAAAAUUGCUUGUCUUCUACCAGAAUUUCAAUCAUCACUUGAAAAUAUAUUUCUUGUAAACCUAUUUCAUUUGACUGAUAAAAUUUUCGGGAAUAUUAAUGUUUUCCGUAAAGUUUUGAACGAAUUAAAAUAUUUAGAAGACACUGAUAUAACAGUUGUAACAAAAGAUGGAAUUACUCAAGUUUAUUUUGCCAUGUGCCUUUUUGCAGGAGAUAAUUUAGGUGCUAAUAGUAUUCUGGGUUUUGUAGAAAGUUUUUCAGCUAAUUAUUAUUGUCGCGUAUACAAGGAACAUAAUAAAGUUAUGCAAAAACAAACUAUUUCAAAUCCAUCAAAGCGUCGAAAUGUUGCAAAUUAUAACACUGAUCUGACAAUUAAUAAUGGUACUGGUACUGAUACUGGUAUUAAAACGGUCUAUUUUCAACGAACUAAAAAGCUUUCAUGUUGUUGAAAAUAUCCACUUAGAUAUUAUGCAUGAUUUGGAUGAAGGAAUGUGGAAACAGACGAUAACUUGUGUGAUUAAUCUUUUGUUACAAAAGAAAAGAUUUAAUAUCGAUAUCUUAAAUAAUUUAGUUCAAAGUUUUUAUUAUGGUCCUUCUGAACAACAUAAUAAACCUCCUCUCAUAACUAAAGAUCAUAAUCAGCGGAUUAGAUUGGCCUUCUCAGUUAGUGAAAUGCGUUGUUUUAUUCGUUAUUUUGGUAUGAUAGUUGGUCAUUUGAUUUCUGAUGAUGACAUUGACAUUUGGAAAUUAUAUCAAAUUGCUCGUCAAAUUAUUGAUAUCUUAACUGCACCUUCCAUAUCUAUUACAAUACUCCCGUUAUUAAAAGAUCUUUUGAAACAGCAUCACUCACUUUAUUUAAAAUUGUCUGGUAAGAACUUGACUCCUAAGAUGCAUUUAAGUAUCCAUUAUCCAAACAUUAUUCCUGAAGUAAGUCCUCUUGAACCUUUAUCAUGUAUUAGAAUGGAAGCUAAACAUAAAGAAGGUAAGCAAAUUGCUUAUUUGUCAGCUAACAGUAUCAAUUUGCCUUAUACUAUUGCUAAGAGGCACCAACUUAAAUUGUGCUGUCGAUUACUAGCUGGGAGAGGUUUAUCUUUAAACAUAUAAUUUUCAUCAGUACAUACUGUCAAUGUAACUGAAAUAAAAGAAUUUUCAAAGUUUUGUCAUAUAUUUCCUAACAAUAUAUACACCGUAAAAUGGAAUACUGUUAAAUGGAUUAAAAUUAAUAAUUUACAUUAUAAAAAUGACAUUUUGAUUGUUACAAAGUGGGAAAGAGGUCAAAAUCCUCAAUUUGGUUGCAUUCAUACAAUAUCUCUAUCUACAGAUAAUACUGUAUAUUUCUUACUUAAAAAACUCAUUAUUUUAAAUUUUAAUACUCAUUAUCAUGCUUAUAAAGUAAAUUGUAUUCAUCAGUGGCAAUAUCUAAAGUUUCAAGAUUUGGCAGUUCAUGUUGCAA